rnacentral:lncRNA from 1 species
GCAUGCGUGUGUGCAUGGGUGAGUUUUCAAAUACUGGGAGUCAAACCCAGAAUCUCCCACAUGCUAAGUCAGUGUUCUGGCUCUGAGCCACACAUUUGUGUAUUUACAGGGUCAAGGGCUAAUGGGUUAUCUGCAAAGUGGGUCUGAUACAGAGGCCAGUUUAGCUCUGUCUCUCAUGUGUGUCUCUCUCACCAGGCACCAUCUACAUACUUGUAGAGUUCUACCAUCUAGACUCAAGCUUAGAAAGCUUAACACCCGAGGUUAUGUAGCCAGAAAGUGACAUAGGAGAAAUCUUUCCAAUGGCUGAGGUAGGGGCUUUGAGGUGGGGCCCUUAAGCUACGUGAAGUGUAUCUGGUAUGAAUGAAAGGCUAUUCAUUUUUCUAGAAUAUUUGUCAGUCCAGGAAAAUCACCAGGGUUCCCUCUGUCUCAAUCAGAAGUUCCACUUCUCCGGCCAAGGGGCUAAGAUCCCUGGGUCCCUGAAGAGGAAAUAGACCAUGUAUGCACCGCAAAACCAUGCAGGAGGGACGAAGGAGCCAGCCUCUGGGGAGUCCCUUGUUAACACCUGUGUCCUUCUGAGGCAGAAGUCUAGGGGUGGAACAUCUCUCAACAUCACACCAGAGAAUUUCAACAGAAAAUAGAAUUACAAGCUGGUGUCAUAAAAACCCGGGACUUUUCCCUUCUCAACCAAGAGGCAACUGAAAGCGGAGCAGGAAAGUGUCAGAUUCUGCAAGCGCAGGCUGCGGUCUCUCCUGUUCUUCCCAAUUCCCUGCAUCUUUGCUGAUGAAGUCCUGCUCUAGGCUGCCAGGCCAGCCUCUAAGGAUCAGAGCAACACUCAAAGGCCUGCACUGCCCAGAAAUGAGGAGGAAAAGAGCUCAGCCCCGCCCAUACUGGGUGCCAGUGGGGAUGGGCAGCUCAACUUGUGUCCAGGAAAUCUCGUCUGUCUCUUAUCGGGCGCGUGGUCUUUGAUAAAGCAUUUCGGGACAGGCAUAGUGGUGACUUCCUGUAAUUCCAGCAUUUGGAGAGCAGAAGCAGAAGUAUCACUGCACGUUCAAGGCCAACCUGGUCUACACAGCACGUGCUGGGGCUAACCACUUCUAUAAAAGACCCUCUUUUAAAACAAACAAACAAACAAACAAACAAAUCAAGGAGCUGGAGAGAUGGCUCAUGACUGCUCUUCCAGAGGUCCUGAAUUGAGUCCCUAGCAACCACAUGGUGGCUCACAGCUGUAAUGGGAUCC